rnacentral:rRNA from 1 species
AUUGAACGCUGGCGGCAGGCCUAACACAUGCAAGUCGAGCGGAUGAAGGGAGCUUGCUCCUGGAUUCAGCUGCGGACGGGUGAGUAAUGCCUAGGAAUCUGCCUGGUAGUGUGGGAUAACGUCCGGAAACGGGCGCUAAUACCGCAUACGUCCUGAGGGAGAAAGUGGGGGAUCUUCGGACCUCACGCUAUCAGAUGAGCCUAGGUCGGAUUAGCUAGUUGGUUGGGUAAAGGCCUACCAAGGCGACGAUCCGUAACUGGUCUGAGAGGAUGAUCAGUCACACUGGAACUGAGACACGGUCCAGACUCCUACGGGAGGCAGCAGUGGGGAAUAUUGGACAAUGGGCGAAAGCCUGAUCCAGCCAUGCCGCGUGUGUGAAGAAGGUCUUCGGAUUGUAAAGCACUUUAAGUUGGGAGGAAGGGCAGUAAGUUAAUACCUUGCUGUUUUGACGUUACCAACAGAAUAAGCACCGGCUAACUUCGUG